rnacentral:rRNA from 1 species
UACAGAGGGUGCGAGCGUUAAUCGGAAUUACUGGGCGUAAAGCGUGCGUAGACGGUUAUUUAAGUCGGGUGUGAAAGCCCCGGGCUCAACCUGGGAAUUGCAUUCGAGACUGAAUAGCUAGGGUACGGUAGAGGGAAGUGGAAUUUCCGGUGUAGCGGUGAAAUGCGUAGAUAUAGGAAGGAACACCAGUGGCGAAGGCGACCACCUGGACUGAUACUGACACUGAGGUGCGAAAGCGUGGGGAGCAAACAGG